rnacentral:rRNA from 1 species
GAUGAACGCUGGCGGCGUGCCUAAUACAUGCAAGUCGAGCGAACGGACGAGAAGCUUGCUUCUCUGAUGUUAGCGGCGGACGGGUGAGUAACACGUGGAUAACCUACCUAUAAGACUGGGAUAACUUCGGGAAACCGGAGCUAAUACCGGAUAAUAUUUUGAACCGCAUGGUUCAAAAGUGAAAGACGGUCUUGCUGUCACUUAUAGAUGGAUCGGCGCUGCAUUAGCUAGUUGGUAAGGUAACGGCUUACCAAGGCAACGAUGCAUAGCCGACCUGAGAGGGUGAUCGGCCACACUGGAACUGAGACACGGUCCAGACUCCUACGGGAGGCAGCAGUAGGGAAUCUUCCGCAAUGGGCGAAAGCCUGACGGAGCAACGCCGCGUGAGUGAUGAAGGUCUUCGGAUCGUAAAACUCUGUUAUUAGGGAAGAACAUAUGUGUAAGUAACUGUGCACAUCUUGACGGUACCUAAUCAGAAAGCCACGGCUAACUACGUG